AGUUUUAUAACUCCCAAACCCAUGUGAACAUACCUAACGUUGCCUCGGCAGGUCGCACCUACCUUGUAGCACCCUACCCUGUAGGGCCUACCCGGGAGGUGCGGGUAAGCCUGCCGGCGGCCCACCAAACUCUGUUUGAUAUUGAAUUCUGAACCUAUAACUAAAUAAGUUAAAACUUUCAACAACGGAUCUCUUGGUUCUGGCAUCGAUGAAGAACGCAGCGAAAUGCGAUAAGUAAUGUGAAUUGCAGAAUUCAGUGAAUCAUCGAAUCUUUGAACGCAUAUUGCGCCCAUUAGUAUUCUAGUGGGCAGGACCGUUCGAGCGUCAUUUCAACCCUUAAGCCUUCGUUGCUUAGUGUUGGGAGCCUACGGCAACGUAGCUCCUCAAAGUUAGUGGCGGAGUUGGUUCACACUCUAGACGUAGUAAUUUUUUAUCUCGCCUAUUAGUUGGACUAAUCCCCUGCCGUAAAACCCCCAAUUUAUCAAGGUUGACCUCGAAUCGGUUCAGACAAACUCGCUAAAUUGAAGCAUCUUAGUCAGCGAAGGAAAAGAAACCAACAGGGAUUGCCCUAGUAACGGCGAGUGAAGCGGCAACAGCUCAAAUUUGAAAUCUGGCCCUCGGGUCCGAGUUGUAAUUUGUAGAGGAUGCUUUUGGCGCGGUGCCUUCCGAGUUCCCUGGAACGGGACGCCUUAGAGGGUGAGAGCCCCGUACGGUUGGACACCAAGCCUCUGUAAAGCUCCUUCGACGAGUCGAGUAGCUUGGGAAUGCUGCUCUAAAUGGGAGGUAAAUUUCUUCUAAAGCUAAAUAUUGGCCAGAGA
rnacentral:rRNA from 1 species